rnacentral:rRNA from 1 species
GACGAACGCUGGCGGCGUGCCUAACACAUGCAAGUCGAACGGAACUGUUUUGAAAGAUUUCUUCGGAAUGAAUUUGAUUUAGUUUAGUGGCGGACGGGUUAGUAACGCGUGAGUAACCUGCCUUCAAGAGGGGAAUAACAUUCUGAAAAGAAUGCUAAUACCGCAUGACAUAUCGGAACCACAUGGUUUUGAUAUCAACGAUUUUAUCGCUUGAAGAUGGACUCGCGUCCGAUUAGUUAGUUGGUGAGGUAACGGCUCACCAAGACCGCGAUCGGUAGCCGGACUGAGAGGUUGAACGGCCACAUUGGGACUGAGACACGGCCCAGACUCCUACGGGAGGCAGCAGUAGGGGAUAUUGCGCAAUGGGGGCAACCCUGACGCAGCAACGCCGCGUGAAGGAUGAAGGUUUUCGGAUUGUAAACUUCUUUUAUUAAGGACGAAAAAUGACGGUACUUAAUGAAUAAGCUCCGGCUAACUACGUG